GGGUAACGGAGAAUUAGGGUUCGAUUCCGGAGAGGGAGCCUGAGAAACGGCUACCACAUCUACGGAAGGCAGCAGGCGCGUAAAUUACCCAAUCCUGAUUCAGGGAGGUAGUGACAAGAAAUAACAACUCGGGCAUUUUUAAUGCUUCGAAUUUGCAAUGGGAACAAUCUAAAUCACUUAUCGAGGAACAAUUGGAGGGCAAGUCUGGUGCCAGCAGCCGCGGUAAUUCCAGCUCCAAUAGCGUAUAUUAAAGUUGUUGCAGUUAAAAAGCUCGUAGUUGAAUUUUCUGAUUAUGAAUGUACUGGGUAACCGGUCCAUUUAUAGUCAUCCACAUGAGAACCUUUCUCGGCCUUCACUGGUCGGUUGGGGAUCAUGUACUUUACUUUGAAAAAAUACAGAGUGUUUCAGGCAGGCGUUUGCAUGAAUACACAAGCAUGGAAUAAUGGAAUAGGACUAGGGUCCAUUUUAUUGGUUAUUGGACCAUAGUAAUGAUUAAUAGGGACAGUU
rnacentral:rRNA from 1 species